AGGGAGUGAGAGACCAGGAAGUCAUGUGAGAGAUGGUGUUUGUAUCAAUACCAACAGAUCAUUCUCCGUGAUAAUGGCUGUGCUUUAGAGAGAAAAUUAAAGAAAUUCUUCCAGUCAGAGAGGUUAACGUCCAACCAGAUCAGAGCUCUGGACAGCUGUAGGAACACACACUUCCUUCACGACAA